rnacentral:rRNA from 1 species
UACAGAGGUCUCAAGCGUUGUUCGGAUUCAUUGGGCGUAAAGGGUGCGUAGGCGGGCAGGUAAGUCCGUGGUGAAAUCUCUGAGCUUAACUCAGAAACUGCCAUGGAUACUAUUUGUCUUGAAUAUUGUGGAGGCAAGCGGAAUAUGUCAUGUAGCGGUGAAAUGCUUAGAUAUGACAUAGAACACCCAUUGCGAAGGCAGCUUGCUACACAAUGAUUGACGCUGAGGCACGAAAGCGUGGGGAUCAAACAGG